CUACGGGAGGCUCCAGUGGGGAAUAUUGCACAAUGGGCGCAAGCCUGAUGCAGCCAUGCCGCGUGUAUGAAGAAGGCCUUCGGGUUGUAAAGUACUUUCAGCGGGGAGGAAGGGAGUAAAGUUAAUACCUUUGCUCAUUGACGUUACCCGCAGAAGAAGCACCGGCUAACUCCGUGCCAGCAGCCGCGGUAAUACGGAGGGUGCAAGCGUUAAUCGGAAUUACUGGGCGUAAAGCGCACGCAGGCGGUUUGUUAAGUCAGAUGUGAAAUCCCCGGGCUCAACCUGGGAACUGCAUCUGAUACUGGCAAGCUUGAGUCUCGGAGAGGGGGGUAGAAUUCCAGGUGUAGCGGUGAAAUGCGUAGAGAUCUGGAGGAAUACCGGUGGCGAAGGCGGCCCCCUGGACGAAGACUGACGCUCAGGUGCGAAAGCGUGGGGAGCAAACAGGAUUAGAUACCCCGGUAGUC
rnacentral:rRNA from 1 species